CAGUGGUCGGCAAACUGCGGCUCUCGAGCUACAUGCUGCUCUUUGGCCCCUUGAGUGUGGCUCUUCCA